AAAUGUGCAUAAAAAUGUCUUUUGAUAUAAACAAAGAUUUCCAUGUUUUUUUUACGAGAUAUCAAACCAAUCAUCUCCUCACCAUUCAGCCUGAGCAACUGGAGGCUUGUGUCUGGAAGCAAGGUCUCCCCUAUGCCACGACCAAUUUGGUUAGAUGUUUGAAAGCCUAAUCUGGGUGACUUCAAUGGAAAUAGGACCAGGACUUUGUGGAGAUUAAUGCUGAAGACUGAAAUGGGAGAAGGUGAGGUGAACAAUGGAAAGAGGAAAGAAAAGACAGUGGAAUGGUAAGAAGAUGAGAGAGCAAGAGGAGGGUUGAAGAGCAAAGGACUGAUCCACAUGCAACUGCACUAGAUUAACUGAAGGUGUGAUAUUAAAUCACUAUAACCAUGUAUGGAUGCUCUUAAGUCAGUUUAAGAAUUUUGUAUAGUAGUUUAGUUUAAAUCAGUUUAUAACAUUUAAUCUAACCUGAUUUUGGACCUUCUUACAUUGAUUUAAGGGUGUCUACAAUCAGGGGUUCACCGAUUUAAGUAAAUCAGUUUCUAAACCAAUUUAUUUAAAUCAGUGACUGUGUGUAGACAAGCCCAAAGUUCAUCCCAGUGCUGUUUUUAGUAAGGUAGAAUCCUUUCAGUAUUUGACACAUUGCCUUUUUG
rnacentral:lncRNA from 1 species